AUCGCUUCUCGGCCUUUUGGCUAAGAUCAAGUGUAGUAUCUGUUCUUAUCAGAAGAGGCGGGAAGCAAGAGAGAUGGCGACGCGUCGUCGGCCAGCUUUU
ensembl:snRNA U2 U2 spliceosomal RNA